UGCUCAAUGAUUUUUUAAAUUGCUGUGGUAUUUUGACUAUACAAAGGUAUUGAAAUAAGAUUUUAAUUGAAUGCUAAGAGAAUGGAAAUACAGGAAAAAACUUUUUUUUUAAAUUAAAAAUUGAAAUUUUUUUAAUUUGUGCAGAAACAAUUAUUAAUAUUAAGGACAAGAAGACCCUAUGAAUUUAUUAAAUUUUAUUUAAUAUGUAAUUACUAUUAGAAAAAUUUUGGCUGGGGCGGCUAAAAAAUAUUUUAAACUUUUUAAAAAUAAAAUGAUCCAUUAUUAAUGAUUAUAUGUUAAAUACUCUAGGGAUAACAGCGUUAUAUUUUUUGAUAGAUCAUAUUGACAAAAAAGUUUGCGACCUCGAUGUUGGAUUAGGAUACUUUUUUAAUGCAGAUAUUAAAAAAAGAAGUUUGUUCAACUUUUAAUUUCCUACUUGAUCUGAGUUCAGACCGGACAGAUAA
rnacentral:rRNA from 1 species